AUUGAACGCUGGCGGCAGGCCUAACACAUGCAAGUCGAACGAGUGGCGGAAGGGUGAGUAAUGUCUGGGAAACUGCCUGAUGGAGGGGGAUAACUACUGGAAACGGUAGCUAAUACCGCAUACAAUCAGAUGUGAACAGAUGGGAGGAGAUAGUUGGGGGGGUAACGGCUCACCAAGGCGACGAUCACUAGCGGGUCUGAGAGGAUGAACUGCCACACUGGAACUGAGACACGGUCCAGACUCCUACGGGAGGCAGCUGUGGUGAAUAUUGCACAAUGGGCGCAAGCCUGUUGCAGCCUUGCCGCGGGUAUGAAGAAGGCCUUCGGGUUGUAAAGUACUGUCAGCGGGGAGGCGUUACCCGCAGAAGAAGCACCGGCUAACUCCGUGCCAGCAGCCGCGGUAAUUC
rnacentral:rRNA from 1 species